CUCUACAUAUGGGUGCCCGCUCUACCAACUGAGCUAUCCGGGCACCCAACCCUGUAACUUUUAGCCCUACAGGUUGUCUCAUUGGAAAUACAACUCGCGCUAGUUGUAGCGAGUUUAGCUGCAGCACUCUGGCUAUAGAUUCCUGCUGCUGAGAUGAAUUGCCAACUUCUCCGAGACUGCUUCGGAGCUACAGUGGGAUUAACUCUCUGAGUUGUGCACUUCAGAAUAUGUACUGAUCCAGCAGGGGACUAAAAACAAGGAGGCUGGAGCUGCAAGUCAUCCCCAAAUGAGAUGGAGGAUUCCCCAAAACUAAUGGUGCGUUGAGGCUGUCCUCCCCCUUUGAGGUAAUGACACCACAGGAAGAAGUCAGUCAGCGAAUACUCUGCGUCUCGACUGUCACAGAUUUUACUGACACUGCUGAGCUGUGAAGAACUCUCAACCUGAGGAAUGGAAUUACCUCGCUGAGUUGUGCACGAUGCAAUGAAACAUAAGGGAUGCUGAGGACAGAAGGGUGUGACAUUUCACAGGAAGACGUCUGUGCCCACAGAUCCCUGGCAUGGUGAGGGAAAGUGUCAUGCUGUAUCAGUGAUGGGCGCUCCUGGAAUAUGCAGACAGGGAGCCUAUGUCCCAUGUCGAAUGAAAUUAAAUCAGAAAAAACUCCGAAAGCAAGAAAGGCCGAUGUUUUAGAAAACAGAACAAUGUUAAAAAAAUGUUGACCUGGUAAGAUAUAUAAAAAUGAGCUGUAAAAAGCCACACCCCCAGUCUACCUGGUAUAUUCUUGUAAUUAACAAGGUAUUAUAACUUCAU